GAAAGGAGAGCCUAUCUAGUUAGCCAAAGGACACUGCCUGAAAUCGAGCUAAGUCCUUGGACAUUUGCCUCGAGAACUAUAAGUUCAACGAGGCAGGCAAGUCAUCCUUGGCUACUAAAUGAGGCUCUCACCC
rfam:Punica granatum cultivar Dabenzi scaffold326, whole genome shotgun sequence.